rnacentral:rRNA from 1 species
UACGGGGGGGGGCAAGCGUUGUUCGGAAUUACUGGGCGUAAAGGGCGCGUAGGCGGCGACCCAAGUCAGAUGUGAAAGUCCUGGGCUUAACCUGGGGACUGCAUUUGAUACUGGGUUGCUUGAAUUCGGGAGAGGAUAGCGGAAUUCCCAGUGUAGAGGUGAAAUUCGUAGAUAUUGGGAAGAACACCGGUGGCGAAGGCGGCGACCUGGUCCAUUACUGACGCUGAGGCGCGACAGCGUGGGGAGCGAACAGG